UUUCCGUAGGUGAACCUGCGGAAGGAUCAUUACAGAGUUCAUGCCCUCACGGGUAGAUCUCCCACCCUUGAAUAUUUAUACCUUAGUUGCUUUGGCAGGCCGUGGAAACACCAUGGGCUCCGGCUUAUGCGUGCCUGCCAGAGGAAACAAACUCUGUUUUUAGUGAUGUCUGAGUACUAUAUAAUAGUUAAAACUUUCAACAACGGAUCUCUUGGCUCUG
rnacentral:misc_RNA from 1 species